AUACAUACCUGGCAGGGGAGGUACCAUGAUCUCGAAGGUAGUUCUCCCAGGGGGAGGUUUAUACAUUGCCCUUUGGAUGUGCUGACCCUUGCGAUUUCCCCAAGUGUGGGAAACUCAACUGCAUAAUUUGUAGCAGUUGGGGGACUGUGUUUAUGGUUUCCCCAG
ensembl:snRNA U1 U1 spliceosomal RNA